GCUUUCUCUUAAAUGAAAUCUGAUUUUCAGUGGCUUUUUUCUUGGUUGUCUUUGCCAUUUUUUUCUUUGCAAUGAGAAUUAUUUCAGGUUGAAUUACUUCUUGGUAAAGCAUAUUCAGAUUGGGGCCAUAUCAGUGAUGCUGUAUCUGUUUACGACCGCCUCAUCUCUAGUCACCCAGAUGACUUCCGUGGUUACUUAGCUAAGGGAAUCAUUUUGAAAGAAAACGGUAAAGUUGGAGAUGCAGAGAGGAUGUUUAUUCAGGCACGGUUCUUUGCACCAGAGAAAGCUAAGGCACUUGUAGAUCGUUACUCAAGACGGUAACUGCUGUUGUUACUGCCUGUUUUUGUGCAUGGUUCGUUUAUAACUUAGUCUUGAUGUAGUUCCAUUUUGACUAUUGGACUAUUUAUAUCGGUCUCCAAAAUUUUCGUAAGUUCAUUUAGUGUGUCUCUAGAUUGUAUGUACAUGUAUAAGGAUUGGCUGAUAAGGAUAAAACUGUUACCCUGAUUUUCCAUAUGUAAUUUAAAAAAUUAAAUAAAUCAAUAGAAUACGAAAUUUAUUUGUUAUUA